GUGAGGAAUAUUGGUCAAUGGGCGAAAGCCUGAACCAGCCAUGUCGCGUGAAGGAUGAAGGUCCUAUGGAUUGUAAACUUCUUUUGCAGGAGGGUAAAGUGAGCUACGUGUAGUUCAUUGCAAGUACCCUGCGAAUAAGCAUCGGCUAACUCCGUGCCAGCAGCCGCGGUAAUACGGAGGAUGCGAGCGUUAUCCGGAUUUAUUGGGUUUAAAGGGUGCGUAGGCGGACUAAUUAGUCAGCGGUGAAAUUUUGCGGCUCAACCGUAAAACUGCCGUUGAAACUGUUAGUAUUGAGUGCGGUAGAGGUAGGCGGAAUGUGUGGUGUAGCGGUGAAAUGCUUAGAUAUCACACAGAACACCGAUUGCGUAGGCAGCUUACUGGAGUGCAACUGACGCUGAGGCACGAAAGCGUGGGGAUCGAACAGGAUUAGAUACCCUAGUAGUCC
rnacentral:rRNA from 1 species